AAAAGAAUGUGAGAAAAUAUGAG
rnacentral:snRNA from 1 species